GUCAAUGGAAUCUAUAUCGGGCCGCGAACAAGGAAACAAGUGAAAAAUAGUGUGUCGGGUUAAUUGUGUCUUAAUUCAGAAAAUUAGCUGUUCCGUUGAAAUAACUAACCAAUAAAUAUAUACAUAACGAUAUUUUCGCCAACAAAAAACGAAGCACAUAAAAAAGUACAUUUACCGAUAUAUCAAUAUGCAUACAUAUGUAUGUAUCAUCCCUAGAAUAGGCAAAGGCAGUGACAAAAGGGUCAGCAAAAUUUGUGAACACGUUUUGUGCAGAAAUUAAUUCAGUUUCGGGCAUAAUCCAAGUCAGCAAUCAACGAGCCAGUUAAUUAACUCAUUGAGUGCUCUCAAGUGCAGCUUUAAAGUGGAAGAAAAUUCUAGUUGAAUGGAAUGUCUGCGUCACGUUGCAAUGUGACAGCAUUGCCAGCAGCAAAAAUUACAAGAGUAGAGAAAAAAUCCAUUUGGCAGUUAAACGAAUGAGCGAAGCCUCAAAUGAAGGCGAAGAAAACUACUCGAGUGCGAAGAAAAGGCCCUGACCCGAGCCAGCUGCCAGCAACUGCACAAAAGAGGUGGAGUGGAGUGGAUGGAGGGUUCGGUCCGUCGCCGAAAAGAGGCCCCGAACGAACCCCUGGGAACACAAGCCGACGACGACGACCCCCGGCUUAGGGGAUGGGAUCCGAAGCGAAUGUGCACCUACCUGUCCCGACAAUGGCGUGGCGUGGCCUAGGCUAUCGAGACCGAGGCUACCAGCCCGAGUCCAGCACCGAGUGGUGCAUCAGUCCAUUAAAAGUGCUCUAGCCAGCGACAUGGCGUAAGCGGAGAACACAGGGAAACCCAUUUGACCUCGACGGACUGAGGACCAGUGCGUUUUUUUUUCAAUUGAAAUGAGUGAAAUCGGUGCAAUCCGUGUAGCAUAUAAACUGCCAGAGAGACAGAUUCAUUUUGAAGUGGGGAUCUAGUGAGCUCAGUGAAACUGUACCAGAAGGAGACCCACGCAACGGGACGAGUUGUGACGCCAUGGCAGUGGAACUUUCCAGGCCCCCAUCCUAGAUCUUUCGUGUUGUUUGUGCUGCAAUAUUCUGGUAUGGCCAUGGCCAGAAUCACCCUCUCACUGGCAUCAACCCAUCGCACCAUUAACCCGAUAAAAGAAGCAAGAAGCAAGCCCUAAUCGAACUGAGGAGGCCAUGGCCCGGGGUCUCUGGCGCCCAUCCCUGGUGGCGCUCAAUACAGCGGCGUCUUCGGGCGACUCGCAGUUGCGGGCGCGGCAGGAGUCGAAGUGCAGCGGCGUGGGUGGUGCGCACCGGCGGUGUGACGGCUGGUAAGCGCUGCCUUAUAACAAAUGCUUGCAACUGCACGGGAUGGCCCCCAACAGAACCGAACAGUACCGCUGGCGGUGGAAGAGUUUGACCGACGCGAGCGAGAGGCAAACGAUAUGGAAUGGAAAGCGUUCACUUGGUGCCACACGGGAUACACGCGAACACGGUGCGGGACGAAGCGUAACCACAUACUUCUACCAAGCGGUGCAAGCACUCGUGUGGCAUUACGUGAAAGCGACUGGGAUAGCAAUACAUAUAUGAGACACAUAUAUAUAUAUAUGAGGGACCAAGAGAGUACGCUCCUCUCUUUCAUGAUUGGUCAUAGAAAUGACAAGGAUAGCAGCUCGUGUCGCGUCGGCCAAACGAUUUCAUCGAAAGCGGCAGAGCAGGACGGCCAUAGAGCAGUUUGCACAGCCCCCAAUAAGAGCGGUAACGCAAUAUAACCACAUCCCGCAAGAAAGCUAACGCAUCCCUGAUGUGUAUAACAGUGGGCGCGCUCACCUCCCCACACACGUACACGCCGCACACACGCACGCACGCAGGCACGACGACGGCCUGUCAAAACGUAGAGAUCGGGAUAGCUGCCAGGGGCGAUAGGCUUUCAACAUAACCACAACCACAACAAACACUGCACUCUGCCCAGGCAGGUGCUGUGCUAUAACACAUCCCCGCCAAUCAGGGAUCAAGAUUAAUCGUAUAAACUAGCAAGUGUCAUCGUAACGUUCAAACCUCCUCACCUCAUCAAGCCGCAUCCAUGGCCCAUAUCUGAAUAUUGUCAGAGUUAAAUUUGCCGGGUCUCAACUGAUGAUUUCUGUUCGCCCGGAAAGGGCUGCUGCUUGGUAGCCACAGGGGACGGGGGCUGACCAGGGUGCGGGGAUCGUAGACAAUAGGUAUUUCUACAGAUUAGUGCUAGUGUAGCCAAGUCGCUGGAUCUGUGUUGCUGUGCCACAAAAAGCCAACAAGAAUAACGCCGAGAAGAAGCUGCCACUGCAUAGAUUCACAAGGAGUUCGGAACUCGGAGAACUAUUCGCACGGCUGCAGGACAUUCCCCUAAAGUUGCUCCAAUCACAACUCAAACGCCCAGAUAAGCCACCAAAAUUCCAUUAAAAUCAAACAUCCAGAAUUAGUCGAUUUUCAUUGCAUCCAUAAUGGUCUAUGCAAAGACCAUUAUGAGGCAAAAAAUUUUCAUUUGAUUUCCUUGACUACCCACACUCCUUGGAUCCAGCCGGUCCCUAUCACAGAAGAUUGCACAAGCCAAUUAACUAAUAAAUUAUAUAAUAUAAAAUAUAAAAAAAAAAAAAAAAAAAAAGAAAAGAAAAAAGAAAAAGAAAAAGGGGAGAACCAACAAAUCAAAUAAAAAGCAAAAAAAAAAUGUUGCUGAAACGUUAUACGAUUUGUCAUAAGAAAAAAUAAUACAAAAUGUAUUGAAGCUUUAUACGAUCUUUAAUAAAAGAUCUCAUUAUGAGCAAAAGAAUGAAAAAUGUAUACAAAAAAAAAAUACAAAAAAAAAACCCUUGUUGGUCAAUCGUUCGACCUGCAGUUGGUUUGCCAAGGCAACCGUCACAUUCUAUGCUGAUAAUGAAGAAAUAAACUUAUGACUUAUGACAAAUCGUGUGAACACUAACCAAAGGUAAUGCAAAUCCUUCAGAUAGUGGCCGGCGAAGACCCCAAGCGAAAUGUUUCACAAAUAUUUGAAUAUUAGAACCCAUUUAAAACAAAAAAUGCACUCAUUAUUUGGUGACUUGCUUAGACAAGAUCUUUAAGAUUUUCCAAAUUUGUGUGUGGUUAGGCGAAAUGUCCUGCAGCUAAAUGGUUUAGUUUGGGCUCUGUUCUCCCGCCUGAAUUUGAUAUGGAAGCAGAUCCAACGGAAAGAACCCAAGAUUUUCACAUACCGGACCGGAUCGAUCCCGUCCAUCCAUCCAUCAGCCGGCCACAGCCAAGAAGCUCUGCCACAUCUCAGAGAAGAUUCCGCUAACCAAACGAUUUGUAAAACUUUCAGGUUCUGCCUGGAGGAUACCAGUUACUCUUUCUGUUUGUUUUGUCUAUUUGAUAACCCACCCCGCUCCUCCCAAUUUCCACCAUUUAUAUCUACCAGCUUUGCUCUGUCCAGACUGUCGUCCAUUGUGUGCUCCUACUUAAGCCCAAGUUUCCAGUUCCCCAUUUACAUAUGUGUGUACUUUUACUCACAAUUAACACUCCUGCAAUCCAUACGACAGUCCCCCACACUAAUCGAGCUUCAAUAUCACUCUCACACACAGUUAAACUUUCAUAUACACAAUCGUUCGGGUUUCGGAAAACGCGUCGAAGCGUUGCGUGGUCUUGAAACGUUUUCCGAAACAGAGAAUUUCGAAUUUACGUAUAACGAUAAAAAAAAAAUAAAACAAUAAAAAAAAAACCGGUAAGCGUGAGCGCGCCGUGAAUUCGAAAAUGGAAAUGAAAAAAAACAUUGCCAAAUAAAUGACUUUGCAGCACCGUUAUACGAAACUCAGAAAAAAGGAAAAAUCCAAACAAAAAAAAUAUAUACAAAUAGUUUUAAGUAAGAAAAAAAAAACAUUUCCAAUAAAAAAACAAGCAAGUCAAAAAAAGCACCGUUAUACGCGACGACAGAAAACCGCGAAAAAAAAUAUAUGUGAAAAAUGGAAACGUUAUACGUCUGAGCAACAUAACAAAAAAAAAAUAAAAAAUAAUAUUUUGUGGUUUUUCUGUAUAACGUUAUACGUCGCUGUAUUCUGUUAUACGUCUGAACCGAAAAAAAAAAAAAUACCAGAACAAAUGUGUUUUUUCUGUAUAACGAAUAGAGUAUGCGUUUAUGCAUCCUCAUUGAUUGGCAAAGAAACAAAUAUAUUUAUUCUGGCUACGUUAUACGUCCUCACUGAUUGGCAAAGAAACAAAUAUGUUUGUUGUUUUUGCUGUCGCAGAAGGCUGCAAAUAUUCCUUUGCAAUUUUUGUGUGUUUCUUUGAGAAUCGGUAAGGACGCGACAAGUCGAAACAGGAGACUACAAAUCUGUGUGCGGGCGAUGUUGCAUGUGUGUGUAGUUUCCUGUGCAGCAAAAACUUAUUUAAUUGGAGUCGCAAAAUUAAAUGUCCUGUGUAAAACUAUAAUUAAAUUGUUUCAUUUGGGUUGGGCCACAGAAGAGUGCGGGGGCCUCUCACACGAAAUUGCAAUCAUCGCUGGAGAAACCAAAUGGGAAGGUAGCAGCAUUGAAUGGAACCACUCCAGGAGAGCCGAAUAAAUAAAUAUACCAUAAGAACUUCGCAUUUUUGGCACUAAUUUUCCUCGAAUAUCAGUCUAACACCUAUAUUUCCUGCUUGUUCGCGACCGGUUCGGUUAUCCGCGUCGUGCGUCAUGCGACAGCGCCCCUCGGUCGGUUGGGCGGGAGGAGGGGCCGCGUUUCUGCCUGGGAUCCGCGCGUAA